rnacentral:rRNA from 1 species
GAACGCGAAGAACCUUACCAGGGUUUGACAUCCCGAGAAGAUUUACGAAAGUAGAUUGUGCCUUUUGGAACUCGGUGACAGAUGAUGCAUGGCCGUCGUCAGCUCGUGUCGUGAGAUGUUUGGUUAAGUCCAUCAACGAGCGCAACCCUUGUGAAUAGUUGAAUUUUUCUAUUCAGACUGCCCCGGCAACGGGGAGGAAGGAGGGGAUGAUGUCAGGUCAGUAUUUCUCUUACAUCCUGGGCUAGAAACGUGAUACAAUGGCAAGUACAAUGCGCAGCGAAGCCGCGAGGUGAAGCAAAUCGCACCAAAGCUUGUCCCAGUUCGGAUUGGAGGCUGAAACUCGCCUCCAUGAAGUCGGAAUCGCUAGUAAUCGCAGGUCAGCAAACUGCGGUGAAUACGUUCCCGGGUCUUGUACACACC